CUUUUGAAUAGUUCUCAUUAUGUUAGACAUUUUUAGCCAUUUUACAAAACAUAUGCCCCAAGAAAAGCCUGUACACUGAUAAAUAGUAUUUUUCAGCCCAAUGUUUUAAAAUGAAAUGACCUCCCUGCAUCUCUGGGCAGAACUGAAAACAAGAUUUUAAACCUCAUCUCCUCCAGGUCUGUUCACACUUUUGCUUGGGUCUCCAACGCUGUUUCACAAGAAGGUCAUCCAUCCCAAGCUGAGGAAGUCUCUGGAGUCAUCAGGAAACAACAGGCUGGUGACUGGACCAGUCAGGCUGCAGAAACUCUGAGGGCAGAGCUAGCAGAGAUGAGGACUGUCUGGCCACUGACUGUCUGUGGAAAAGGGACCAGGAUGCUGGUGGGUACUGGUUACCCCAACAUCACAGGAGACCUUGCAGCGAAGGUGACUGGUGGUGGGUCUUUGGGGGUGCUGGGGCACCAGGCUGUGCUGGCCAGUGGUUCCCCUCCAGAUGGGCACUGGUGAGACUAUGUCUGGGCACUGGGUCCCCAUAUGGGUCUCCCAGUAGAAUGGACAGUGACAGACUGGAGGUGCUGGAGCCUGGGCUGUGUGGGUUUUAUUACCAAGCUGUCCACUUUGACUCAUACCUCAACUACGUGCAUUUAAUCCACACCUCCUCCAUCAUCAAAUCUGCUCUGCCCAUGGCCAUAAUUUUUGACCUCUUUGCCAUGAUCUGCAGCCCCCGAAGCCUGCAUCCCUCCUGGCAAACUCUGUGGCACUAAAACUGGUGUGGGGUUAACCAUCCAGGCAGCACUUCUGGUGUUCCUGACUGCCUUUCCUCUGAAGAUACUGCCAUAUCACUGGGUAAACGGUCUCUCACAGUAUUUCUUGUCUACUCCAGGAUAUCAUCAAGACCAGAGUGGACAGGGCUUUGAAAAAUGUGGUCUGGUGAGAGGUGUCCCUGCCCAUGGCAGAGGGGUUGGAACUUGAUGAUCUUUAAGGUCCCUUCCAACCCAAACCAUUCUAUGAUCAUCAGUGUGGCCCCAGUCACAUUUACAUGACAUUUAUGAGA
rnacentral:lncRNA from 1 species